rnacentral:rRNA from 1 species
UACGAAGGGGGCUAGCGUUGCUCGGAAUGACUGGGCGUAAAGGGCGCGUAGGCGGUGCAUUUGGUCAGGCGUGAAAUUCCUGGGCUUAACCUGGGAACUGCGUCUGAUACUGGACGGCUUGAGUAUGGGAGAGGGAUGUAGAAUUCCAGGUGUAGCGGUGAAAUGCGCAGAUAUCAGGAGGAACACCGAUGGCGAAGGCAGGUCUCUGGGCCACUACUGACGCUGAGAAGCGAAAGCGUGGGGAGCGAACAGG